rnacentral:rRNA from 1 species
UAGGGAAUCUUCCACAAUGGACGCAAGUCUGAUGGAGCAACGCCGCGUGAGUGAAGAAGGUCUUCGGAUCGUAAAGCUCUGUUGUUGGUGAAGAAGGAUAGAGGCAGUAACUGGUCUUUAUUUGACGGUAAUCAACCAGAAAGUCACGGCUAACUACGUGCCAGCAGCCGCGGUAAUACGUAGGUGGCAAGCGUUGUCCGGAUUUAUUGGGCGUAAAGCGAGCGCAGGCGGAAUGAUAAGUCUGAUGUGAAAGCCCACGGCUCAACCGUGGAACUGCAUCGGAAACUGUCAUUCUUGAGUGCAGAAGAGGAGAGUGGAACUCCAUGUGUAGCGGUGGAAUGCGUAGAUAUAUGGAAGAACACCAGUGGCGAAGGCGGCUCUCUGGUCUGCAACUGACGCUGAGGCUCGAAAGCAUGGGUAGCGAACAGGAUUAGAUACCCUGGUAGUCCAUGCCGUAAACGGUGAGCGCUAGGUGUUGGGGACUUUCCGGUCCUCAGUGCCGCAGCAAACGCAUUAAGCGCUCCGCCUGGGGA